UUGCUGAUUUCAAUUCAACAUUUAUCCAAGUGACUGCGACAAAAAUAAUAUGACAGUUCGUAUUGUAUUAUUAUUAAUCAAUUCCCUCUCGUACCGGGUGACCAGGCCCUGAUCGUAUUAUCCUGUGCGGACGGAAGGAAUCUAACGCCCGGUCGGGCACCUCCCCCGGCGGCCGUCUCACCUACGGCUUCUUCCUCUCACCUCCUCCUCUCCUAUCCUCCACUUCCACCAGUCGGGAGCUGUGAUGAUGAAUAACAAGAGAUUUCCGAACCCCAACCAGAUGCAGCAACAGCAGCAACAGUAUAGCCAUAAUCCUCGGCCUUAUCCACCGCCGCAGGGCGUGCCUCCACAAGGAGCUGUGGGAUCAAGAAAUCCCAAUGCUCCCCAAAAUAUGCGUGUUCAAAAUGGGCCUCGGCAGACACAACCUCAACAAACACAGGCUCAUAAUCAUAAUCAGCCUCCACAUGGGAUGACGGGGGUCGUGGUCCAGUCAUCCCAUCCCCAUGCACACGCUCCUUCUGCUCCCCAACAACAAGGGCAACAACAACAACAGCAGCAGCAGCAACAACAACAACAACAUCCCCCCCAACAAAUGGCAUUUGCUAGUUAUCCGACGGGCAAUCAGUUUUUUAUCUCACCGCAGGGAGUGCAGUACGCCCAGAUUCCCAAUAUGCACGGCGGUCCCCCCACGUACGUUCAGCUGAACCAACCACGAUAUACACUCCCAGCGCAACCUCAAGGGGGUUUUGUUAUUUAUCCGAACCAACAAAUGUUCCAAGCAACUACAGCUCACUCCAACCAACCCGCAAUGAUUCAGCAUCACCCAGCACAACAUGCAGCAGCAAAUUAUUACCAUCAUCACCAACAACAGCCUCAGCAUUAUAUGGCACCGCAGCCCAGACUUCCGAUACAUUCUACUUCAGUACACGCCCCAGUCCAAGUUCAAGGCCCUGUCCAUCAAACGCCGGGUGGGGGGCAUGUUCAACAGACAACUCAGCACAACCAUCAAUUACCUCAUGUGCCACAACAACAGCAGCAGCAGCAGCAACAACAAGCACAACAACAGCAGCAACCGCCAAAUUCUGGACAAAUGGUCAGUAGGACUGAAGGAUCUGCAGCAACUUCAGAAUGGAAACGAGAGAGAAAGAUUCUCAAAAUUGUUGAUCCAAACACAGGUGCUUGCGUAAUUGGUGACACGAACGCUAAUUCCUCCACAACUGAACCAAAUCAAGUAAAGGAACCCGUAGCAGAAGGGAAUGGAGAUAUUGUUCCUACUGUAAAUAUCCAGGAGUCGCAAACGCCGCCUGAAGUAUCCGCUCUCGGGACUGACGUAGCUGAAGAAAUUGUUGUGAAGGUCGAUAAUGUUGCAAAACCUCCCUCUGAAGAACCUGUCGAUGAGACAAAAUCUAAAGCUAGGGCCGAAUUUUAUCAGAAAAUUACACAGGCUUCUGAUGAUGGUAGUAAUGAUGGUCGCGCAUUAUCGGGAGGAGCUGCAACUCAAGGUUCGUCACCAACUCCUGCUGCUCAAGCUCCUGAACAACCAGACAGCCCCCAAAUUGACUCGAGUAAGUCACAACAGGCAGUUGCGACUCCAGCUGCCAACACCUCCUCUGACGAAUCCAAGGAUACCAGCUUGGUUUCAGUGUCCCCAAUCCCUAUUGAAGCGUAUCUAACUCCCCGAAAAACUUCAGCUCCAGGACAGGUGGAUGACAGAUCGUUUGAAGAAGAAAAUGCAGACUCUCAACAUGAAGACGAAUCAUUUUCCACAACUGUAGAAACUAAGGAAGACAUUGCCAUCAGCCCAUGUCAAGAUGAAGAAGCUCAGCCACUUCAGCCAGAUUCUGAAACUUCCACGAUUGAAAUCGACAAUGGUUGUACAGAGGAGAGUUGCAAAGACGAUGGUGAGGACGACGAAGUGUUAUCGGUCAAUGAUAAGUCUGAGUCACCUACUAACGAAAUUCGAGCUCCAAGCGAAGAGCAGGUCUCUAUCGUUCACCAAAAUGGGGACUUGGAGUUUGAAGAUGGUGAGCUGGUUCCAGAGGAGGUUGACGAUUUAGACAAUGGAACGGAAGCUGGUGGUGCUGCUGAUGGAUUAGGGACAACUGAUGGUGAAAUUGAACCUGGAGAAAUAACUGAUAAAGAGCAACCUAAAGGAAAGAUUAAGUAUGACAGGGAAUUUUUAAUGAAUGUUGGGCAACAAGUCAAACAAACUAGUAAGCCAACCGUACCUGUCCUUUCCGAUGUUGCCAAAGACGCAAAUUCGAUGAGAUCUCAACAUAUGUCAAAAUCGCCAGGUGGGCCUAGUAAUAGAGAACAAUUUGGAAGUAUGGGUCGCAGAGGUCCAGGUCAAGGUCCCAAACCUGGACUUGGAGGCAUGAUGAACAUCAAUUAUCAAAACAGGGGAGGAAAUACAGGGAUGAUGGGUUGGCCUCCAAUGAUGGUUCCGCCUCGACCACCUCCCCCAAAAGUUAUCGAACUUACGAGGGAGGAAGUUAAGCUUCAUAAAGCUAAAGACGCGUGGAAACCGGGUUCAAUUAAACGUAGCGGAAAUGAACAGAAAAGUCCUGAAGAAGCGCUUGAGGAGGAUCUAGUAAAAAAGACACGUGGAAUCCUUAAUAAACUGACGCCCGAGAAUUUUAGUAAACUUACUCAAAAAUUCAUGAACCUUCCAUUAGAAGAUAAAGAGGAACGAAUAUCAAAAGUGAUUAAAGUAGUAUUCGAGAAAGCUGUAGAUGAGCCGUCAUUUUCCAAAGAAUAUGCCAAAAUGGUGCAUGCCGUGUGCAACACAUCACUUGAGACUUCCAAAAAGUUCAGAAAGCAAAUUCUUGAUCAAUGUCAGCAAGAGUUUCAAAACAAUAAUACAGACGAGUCAAAAAUAAAAGACGCAGAGAUACAGUUGGAACAAGCAGAAGAUGAUAAGAAAGAACAACUGAAAGCUGAACUGGAGGAACUAAAAUUUCAGAGCAGAAGGAGGUCUCUUGGAAAUAUUCGGUUUAUUGGAGAAUUGUACAAAUUACAAAUGCUGACCCCAAAGAUUAUGGUAGAAUGCGUCGUAAUGCUUUUGUCGAGCAGCGAUGAAGAAAACCUCGAGGGUCUUUGCAAAUUACUCACUACUGUUGGGUUGAAAUUAGAAGAGCAACUCAAUGAAAUUACGCAUAGAGUGAACAUGGUCAGAAACCUUAAGCCCAAACAACAAGAGGAUCCAAACGCACCCAAAAUGCCAAAGUUUAUUCCUGACGAUGGUUGGAUGACUAAAACUUUUAGUGCGUUACGCAACCUGUCUGAAAACAAAGAUUUAUCUUCCAGAAUCCGUUUCGCCUUGCUGGACGUCGUGGAACUCCGUGAUAAUAAUUGGAAACCACGAAGAGAUGCAAAUGCUCCAAAGACCAUUGACGAAGUUCGUCGAGAUGCAGUCAGACAGGAAAUGGAGGAAAAAAGACAAAUAAGCAACCUUCCUCCACCGUCAUUAGACCAGAGAGGUUCUAGUCGGGCAGGUCCUCCUCAGCCUAAAAAGGGAGACUGGAAUGUCCAAACGAAAUCGAGUAGAUUUGCGGUCAAAUCAAAAGAUGCGCCUUCAACUCUUCCUCUUCUGGCUCCACCCGUUUGGGGAAGGGGUCCAGGAAGUGGUGGAAUGCAGCCUAGCAAGCCUGCAAAUGAAACUCCUCCACGGUUUGUAAAUAGGUUUAAUUCCCUGGCAGCUGAUGAUCGUGAGCGAGACAGAGACAACAGAGAUAGACUGAAUUCCAAUCAACAACAACCCAAUUCACGUAAUUCCAUGCCCCCUGUACAACAACAACAACAACAGCACCACCACCCGUACACUCCCACAUAUUCACCCUCACCCCGAAGAUUAUCCCCCGCCCCAAGCAGCACCUCGUCAAGAGAAAAUUCGAGACCCGUAUCUCCCAAAGAGACAAAUUCGGGGAUGAAUAAUGAAAUAGGCACUGCUGAUGUUAAUGAGACUGUAAAAAAUAUAUUCGAAGAGUAUUGUAGUGUGGGAAGUACUUCUGAUUCUCUUGAAUGGAUUCAGCAACGGUUCCCAGGCGACAAAGUAAUAGAAUUUCUCGAUGAGCUAUCCAGACAAGUUGGGGAAAUGUCUAAAGUACCGCAGCAACAAAAGGCUGGUAGCUUAGUUCGCUCAUUAAUUAAAAGCAACGAAAUUAGCCUUUCUAAAGAUACGGUUUUAUCUACGCUGUCUCGUGGUGUUAUCGCAGAUCUUCCAGAUAUUAUGAUUGAUGUUCCAAUGGUGUCGACCUACUUGGCUCAAUUUUUGGUAGAAAUAUUUCACGAUGAUCGCAAUUUAGACUGGUUAUUAGCGUUAGAUGAAGUACUUCAGAGCAGUGAAGAAUAUGAGUCCGCGUGGAACGAUUUCUGUUCUCAGUCCUUAUCCGCACUGAGAUCGAAGACAAACGAAGAAAUGGUACGAACGUUGUACACCUCGACUAAGGAUAAAGGUCGUAUUCCCCUCAAGGAUCUUCCAUGGAUUUCCCCAGACCCCGAAUCCAUAGCGAAAAACAUGAUACCGGUGCUAAAGAAGGGUCUGGUUGUAAAUAAUUCAGAUGAAAAUGAAGUUCGCCAAGCUUUGAAAGUAAGUUGUCCGACCUCCGACAACCAACAAUCAUAGGUUUAAUUAUAUUUAACACAGUAGGAAAAUUCAUGGGACCUACGUGAAGAGUUAAUAAGUCAUAGUUUAAUCGAAGCAAUUUGUAUAAUAUCGUGGACUCCAAAAUUAAGACAAUGGGACGAAAAGGCCCUUAAAAAGUUAAUACCUCUAUUGCCUCCAAAUCCAAAAUUGUUUCCAAGUCUAUGGAAUCGAGUCUGUGACUUUAUUGAUAGGAAUAAAAUUGACGAUGCUCAAAAGGAAACAAUAUGGGAAUCAUUUUAUAUUACCGACAGAAUCCCACCUGCUAAUUCCGAAGAUCCAGAGCAGCCAAGUAAUUAAUUAUGUAAAUUUUAUUUAAAUUUUGAUUGAAGUGCCUAUUGUGAAGUAAAUAUGCAUAACAUAACGUUGAAUACUGUUAAUAAUACAGAGCUAGUUCUAAAUCCUGAACUUCCACAAUAUAUAAAGUCGUUUCCUGUUUUUAUA